rnacentral:rRNA from 1 species
GUAGGCGGCAAGCGUUGUCCGGAAUUAUUGGGCGUAAAGCGCGCGCAGGCGGUUCUUUAAGUCUGAUGUGAAAGCCCACGGCUCAACCGUGGAGGGUCAUUGGAAACUGGAGAACUUGAGUACAGAAGAGGAAAGCGGAAUUCCACGUGUGGCUGUGAAAUGCGUAGAGAUGUGGAGGAACACCAGUGGCGAAGGCGGCUUUCUGGUCUGUAACUGACGCUGAGGCGCGAAAGCGUGGGGAGCAAACAGGAUUAGAUACCCUGGUAGUCCACGCCGUAAACGAUGAGUGCUAAGUGUUAGGGGGUUUCCGCCCCCCUUAGUGCUGCAGCUAACGCAUUAAGCACUCCGCCAGGGAGUACGGCCGCAAGGCUG